rnacentral:rRNA from 1 species
UACGGAGGGGGCUAGCGUUGUUCGGAAUUACUGGGCGUAAAGCGCGCGUAGGCGGACCUGCAAGUCGGGGGUGAAAGCCUGUGGCUCAACCACAGAAUUGCCUUCGAUACUGUAGAGCUUGAGACCGGAAGAGGUAAGUGGAACUGCGAGUGUAGAGGUGAAAUUCGUAGAUAUUCGCAAGAACACCAGUGGCGAAGGCGGCUCACUGGUCCAUUACUGACGCUGAGGUGCGAAAGCGUGGGGAGCAAACAGG